UACGUAGGGUGCAAGCGUUAAUCGGAAUUACUGGGCGUAAAGCGUGCGCAGGCGGUUUUGUAAGUCUGACGUGAAAUCCCCGGGCUCAACCUGGGAAUUGCGUUUGGAGACUGCAAGGCUAGAAUCUGGCAGAGGGGGGGUAGAAUUCCACGUGUAGCAGUGAAAUGCGUAGAGAUGUGGAGGAACACCGAUGGGCGAAGGCAGCCCCCCUGGGUCAAGAUUGACGCUCAUGCACGAA
rnacentral:rRNA from 1 species